GGGACAUUCAAAGAGAAGAUGUUGGUGAAAAAAUAUAUAGAUAACCAUUAAAAGCCAUCAGAAAGAAUAGUUAGCAGAAGGAUAAUUUUAAUAUAAGCCAAGGAAGUUCAUGAAACAGUGAAAAUUUCCCCUACUUAGAUUACUGGACACAGCUAUAUCAAAAAUCAUGCUAUCACUUGUCAGGUAAAAAAGUUUGAAUAUUUCUUUCAGAUAGAAAUAUCUAAGGUGGUCCUAUGUUUUUUUAAUUUUAUCUUUUUUCCUUUUUUUUUUCUUCAUUUUAUUUUAUUUUUUAUUUUUUUACCUGUAUCUUGAAAGAAUGCAACAGUGGGAAUGAAUUUCAUGCUAGUAGACACUUUAAAGACUAGAUUUAGCUGCAGUCACAUUAGCUUAGAUAAUGGGAGAAUUUUUCUUCAUUGAAAAUGCUCCCUGUCGCUUAAGAAGAACUCAUUGAGGCAGCCUGCCAUCUAGCUUUUUCACAGCAAAAUAGGCUUGCAGACUGCAGAUGAGAGACUCGGGAGCAGAGACAAUUUUAACUUAGCCAUCCCUAAUUUAUCUCAAGCUUUUUCAAUUCAUCUUCACUGCUCUGUGCACACGGGAACACCAGAUUGUCAACCCCUGGGAACAGAAUGCAACCAGGGAUCUAGAGAGCUGUCACAUCCUGAGAAAUAUUUAAAUUGUGCUGAUUUUCUUCUGGAGUGCUGAGCAGAGGGAAUGAAACUCUCCAUCAAGUCAUAGCUUUGCGGGCAAUAGAUCAGAGGAUACUGCCAGUUUUUCUAAUGGAUUAUUGUUAUCGGGCAGGUUCUUCCUGAAGAAAGUGUCAGUGGAGGAAAAGCGCAAUCUCUGCUCACGUCCAGAGAAGGUUAUAUUGCUCCAGUGUGUGCCUCCCUGGAGAAAAGCAGCCUGGAAGCAAAACACUGAGACAGAAAUCACUUGGAGCUUUGAAGCUUCCUCUGUUAUCAGAAGUCCAGAUGCAACAAUAGUCAAGAGGAACAGUUGUAUCUUGAACCUCAUUACGUGGCCUUGA
rnacentral:lncRNA from 1 species